CUGUGACUUGAAAGGUUUUUUUUUUUCUUCUUGGAUGAAUAUCAUAGCCAGGGAGGAUGUGUGUCUGAAGUAACACCAGGUUCUCAGUGCCUAAGAAGAGCUCAGGUUGCAAAUGAUGGUGAACUAUUAAAAUUUCCUUUGUCAAAUGUGGAAAUCAAGAGGCUCCAAGACAAAGCACUAAAAAAUUUCAUCAAAGGGCAAGAAAAGCCUGAAGGAUGUAAAUACUUCUGGCUGAUACUGGGAGAGCAAACUGCCACAGGGAGCCAGCAGCUGUUUGGGGACUCUCCGUCUUCCUGGUGUGUAAAUGACUGCUGCCAUGCUGUUCGCAGGUUGAUGGGACAAUGAAGGGACAGCAUACUCUACACCCCGCCGAUUUAUUUCAAGGGUGACAAGACCUUCACAAUCCCUGAAAGGACAUUGCUAUUUCUUUUAUUUUUCCUUUUUUAUUUUAAACUGUUUAAAUAUUAGUGAAAAAAAAUGUUGGAAACAUUUAAUGAGAUACAGAAGGGACAGUCUUAAAACUAUCUAGGUUAGUGU